AGUGAACGCUGGCGGUAGGCCUAACACAUGCAAGUCGAACGACAGCACAGUAAGAGCUUGCUCUUACGGGUGGCGAGUGGCGGACGGGUGAGGAAUACAUCGGAAUCUACUUUUUCGUGGAGGAUAACGUAGGGAAACUUACGCUAAUACAGCAUACGACCUACGGGUGAAAGCAGGGGAUCUUCGGACCUUGCGCGAUUGAAUGAGCCGAUGUCGGAUUAGCUAGUUGGCGGGGUAAAGGCACACCAAGGCGACGAUCCGUAGCUGGUCUGAGAGGAUGAUCAGCCACACUGGAACUGAGACACGGUCCAGACUCCUACGGGAGGCAGCAGUGGGGAAUAUUGGACAAUGGGCGCAAGCCUGAUCCAGCCAUACCGCGUGGGUGAAGAAGGCCUUCGGGUUGUAAAGCCCUUUUGUUGGGAAAGAAAAGCAGCAGGUUAAUACCCCGCUGUUCUGACGGUACCCAAAGAAUAAGCACCGGCUAACUUCGUG
rnacentral:rRNA from 1 species